AAACAGAGUUCAAAGGAACCAUUUUGGCAGAUGCGUACUAUGCAUUGAAGAAAUCAUGCUGAAUAUCAAGCAGUAAGAUCUUAAAAUUGGAGAAAAUACGCUCCCAAAACUGAAAGACUCCUGGUAAACAAGACAGAGAAGAUAAUUCUACAGUGAUCAAUUUCUUCAAGAAUGGAAGAAACCUUGCCAACACACUAUUUGCUUGCGACAGAAAACAGAAACUACAAAGUGUCAAGCACCCCCUUUUCCAUGUUUCAAUGCACAGCUGUUAACAUCUGACCCAACCUGAUAUCCAACCCUGCAUGGCAUCUCCCAAACUGGACCAAGAAGGGCUGAGGCAAGAGCAGGUGUUUCUGCCAGCUUUCAGCUUAUGAGGUUGGAUCCAGCCAGGAAGAAGCCCCAUGGUUCAGAUCCCUUCCAUGUCCAAAGGUGGGUUUGAUGACCUUGCUAUACACGAUAAGCCACAUCAGUAACUCAGCAUGAUUUACAGCAGGGAGUCUUUUAUAAACUCAACACAGUAAGAGCUCUUAUGCUAAUAAUGCACAUUUUAAUCAGGAAACCUGCCAGCUGACAUACCUGUAUUACUUGUUCUCCAUCCUAACCACAUAGUGCUUACCUGUAACUCAUUAAGCUAUUUGCUUUGAUUAAAAAUACACUACAUCAGGUGGUUUCAUAAGUUCUAAUUAUAUACGUACAGGUAUAUAAUUAGUUACAAAAUAGCUUUUUGAAAGGUGUUGCCUUUCAUGUCAGAGUGCCUUGAAGAUCAAGCCUUACAGGAAAGGGGACUUAAAAAACCCCAAAUACAUGCACACAAGCACAUGCACAUACACUCCUAACUCGUCUUCUCUGUCAUUCAUCCUAUAAGCUUCUCAUUUCUGACCCUGAAGUCCUUGCGUGAAGUCCUGACUCCAUUAAAGUCAAGGAAGUCAGUGUAGUCAGCACAUCACUCCUGCUUUUUCUG